UGGGGAAUUUUGGACAAUGGGGGAAACCCUGAUCCAGCAACGCUGCGUGGAGGACGAAGGUCUUCGGAUUGUAAACUCCUUUUGCGGGGGACGAAUAAAUUGACGGUACCCCGCGAAUAAGCCACGGCUAACUACGUGCCAGCAGCCGCGGUAAGACGUAGGUGGCGAGCGUUACUCGGAAUCACUAGGCGUAAAGCGCAUGCAGGCGGAUGUUUAAGUCUGUCGUGAAAUUUCCCGGCUCAACCGGGAACGGUCGACAGAAACUGGAUGUCUUGAGUGGGACAGAGGAAGCUGGAAUUCCCGGUGUAGCGGUGAAAUGCAUAGAUAUCGGGAGGAACACCAGUGGCGAAAGCGGGCUUCUGGGUCUCUACUGACGCUGAGAUGCGAAAGCUAGGGGAGCAAACA
rnacentral:rRNA from 1 species